GAAUGUGAGGGCAAUCUCACUGCAAUAUCUGUAGUCCCAUUGAUCACUGUGGUUGAUUCUGCAGAUCUAGAUGCCUAGGAAGUUCUCCUCUUCCUCCUUCACUGCUCCACGUGCACCUCUCCAGAAGUUGUAGACUUGGUCAGACAAGAUGACCUUCCUCAAUAGAGGAGAACCAGUCUUCCAGCAGGGGUGGACCAGUAGCUGUACCUCCUCCCUAGAACCUCCAAACAAGCCCUUAAGUUUUUAUAUUUUAAUAUAUUAAUGGUUAUGACUCAUUUUUUUAUUUUAAUGGACCUGAGCUUUAUUGAGUGUGAUA
rfam:Mus musculus chromosome 13, GRC primary reference assembly.